CCUACAUUAUUAUAUUAUCUAAUUCCAUACAAAUACAACUAACCUCCAAGAAAUCGGUAAAUUGGCGUAACGGCCCGAAUAGCAGUGGGUAAUAGAAUUUCCUUGAUUGAAUAGAAGGUACCUACUGUAGCGACUUAUCGGUUUCCAAUUAUAUUACGUAAACAGGUGCUUUGUGCACGCUCCGUCAUACCCUGUGUGUAUUAAUGUGGUGAUCAACUCAACAAUGUUCGUCAUUCUGGUGAGUAGGUAUUUUCUUUGAUAAUCUGUACGAAUGCCUUGGAAACACGAAAUAAUACGGAAUCAGAAAUUCUAAGAAUACUUCAAAGGCACCUCGAUAAAAUACCUGACAUUGAAUCCAAAUACGUCCUCAACGAAGGAUUGUCUAAAUCGAUAUCAAAAUAUUUCCAAGACAAAAUAAGCGUGUUGCCUUUAUUCAAAA